UCACACAGUUACACAUAUUGUCAGUCUACACUCACAGGGAAGAGGAGCGCCAAACUCAGUCCUUCUCUCAACACACACACAGAACAUACCGUUUCUGUCUUUCAACAUCAGGAGACCGUCAUCAUGUGGAUCUCUGUGUUUCUGAUCAGCUCAAGCCUUCACAUUACUGCAGGAAAUGAAGGCUGUACUCUGUCAGGCACUAACCAUCCACUGCAGGAGAUCACUGCAUUCACAGGCCAGUCUGUUCUCCUGCCCUGCUCCUGUACUGUACGUCAGUUUGAUACUCCCAGACUCACAUGGACUAAAUUCACCCUAGGUCAGGAGCCUGUGAUAUUAACCCAGAGUGAUCUCUACAUAGACAGAGUGGAGCUGUUGAAUAGAAAACAUCCUGGGAACCUCUGUCCUCCUCUCACACCUCACUCAGGAUGAUCAGGGAGAUUACAGAUGUAGACUCGAGGAUAGUGACAACUGGGACAUAGAGAGGGACAUCAGACUCUAUGUUAAAGGCUGCAGUUUGUCAGACUCUAACCAACUGGAGAUAGUUCGAUCCCCAGGCCAGUCUGUGCUCCUGCCCUGCUCCUGCAAUGAACUCCAGGCUAAACCUCACAAACUGACAUGGACUAAACUCCCCGCUACACCAUUAACCAAGCGUGAUCUCUACAGAGACAGAGUGGCAAUGUUUAAUACUGAGAGCUCUCCAGGGAACCUCUCUGUCCUUCUCUCAUUCAUCACUAAGGAGGAUCAGGGGUGGUACAGGUGUACAAUCAACAACCAAGACACUAGAGACAUGCAUAUCACUGUUGAAGGAACAGACACAGUGAGGACGUCAGGAGAAGCUCCAUCUGCAUCCUCUCUGCAAAACAAUACAAUCCAAUACGUCUUAAUGGCUGUCCUACCAGUCAUACUGAUCAUCGCUGGAAUGGCUUUGUGCAUAUACAAGAGAAACAAAAGAAUAAUUAUUCCACAAUUGCAACCACUAAAAAAAUCAAUGUGGAAUGUGGGAAUGGUUCAUUUUGUCUAUUAAACUCUGUUUUUUUAUCCCAGGAAAGAAAACCACAGGGAAUAAUAGUAGAGGGAGCAAAACAGGAGGAGAGAAUAAUGAUGAGGUUAAUUAAUCAUUUAGAAGCUCUAUCACAGUGAGAGUGAUGGGGAAUGAAGAUAGAAAGAAUACAUCCCACUUAUCAUUGUGUUGUUAUAUGGUUAAGGGUUCAAAGUUACUGUAUGUGUGCCUUAUUUUCUGUCUCCUAGGAUGAUCCUACUGCAAUGUAUUCCAUGGUUGCGGACAGAAACACUGGUUUAAGCAUCAACACAACACCACUUAGUGCACUAGAUGAUCCCAAUGCAAUGCAUGCUACGGUUCAACACAGAAACGCCAACCAAGAGGAUACAACUACACCACUCAGUGCUCCAGAUGAUCCCUCAGUGAUAUACUGCACCAUCGUCCACAUGACAGGAAAAGGGAAGGCAGCAGUGAGUCUGGAGAGCAGUGGAGAAAUAGAGUACGCCAGUAUCAAGACAGGCAGAUCCUCCUAGAGCCACUAUACAAGGCUCACAUAAUACAGAGAGAUCUCUAACAGUAUUGUGCCCAGUAUCAUGAGGCUUUAUCUGGCGCACUUAACUAUAAAUAUAUUUCACUCUCCAAUUACACAUGUUUAGUGGUUAACUGGGCACAGGAAAUCAAGGGCGGGUUUACCUUCGCUAACAUAUGGAAUUGUUUUAAGAUGGUGAUACUAUCGUUUAGCUACUUUUUUUUUUUUUUUGUGAAGCAGAGACAUGCAAAGUGCCUUGAAUGGCUUGUGAUUUACCUAGUUCCCUUUUUAUAUUGCUGUUUUAUAUUGCUGUUUUGUAAUAGAGACGGAUGACUUCAGCCAUUUAAAAAAAAGGGAGAUGUGGUUUGAUGUGUAUAGAAACAUCUUUCGCAAUCACUAUUGCAAGAGGUUUCAUUGGUGGCUAUUCCAACUGAUAUAUCCCCCAUUUUAACAUAUGAAUCUUAUCUUUCUGCCAAAUAGCUGGUACACCUUGAAGAAUUCAUAAUCCUUGAAGUUGACAACAAAAAUGUAAAAUGUUUGUAUUUUUAAGCCUAAAUUUGUUACAGCCAACUGUCUUUGUAAAAACAACCUAUUGUCGAAACCAGUCAGUUAGCUACUUCCUCUUUGGUCUAAUGGACAAAUCACAAAUUGUUGUAUUCCUGAACAAGAAAAGCACUCUAGCAAUGUCAUCAACUGAAGCAUAUGCUUUUAAAGUGCACAUCUAACAGGGAAUGUCAUGUUAAAGUGUGUAUGUUUCUGUACAGACAGUAUCUCCAUUUGACAAAGUCAGAUUUUCCAAUUACUUACUUCAGCACACUCCCACAGACCACAAACAGAUGGCCAUCUACAGCAUCUUUUGCAAUAUACAAAUAUACAGAUAUUUCCGUUUUUUUUAAAGCUAAAAACCUGUUUUUGCUUCAUUAUGGGGUAUUGUGUGUAGACUGAUGAGGGGAAGAAUUAUUUAAUCAAUGUUAGAGUAAGGCUGUAACGCAACAAAAUGUGGAAAAAGUCAAGGGGUCUGAAUACUUUCCAAAUGCACUUAUCAGAUCUGUUUUUGAUAUGUCCUCAUUCUCAGCACUAACAUGUCUGUGACUUUUCCUUUUAAACAUGAUAAUAUUAACAUGCUGAUGUAGUAGACGUUUUUAUCCAAAGCGACUAACACGAAGUAAACAUAUUUAGUAGCCUAUAUGUAGCCCAUGGGCAAGUGGCUAACCUUGUGGAUGUUGCUAACCCUAUGCUGAUAAACUUCACAAAACAAGUGUGAAUUAACUGUU